AGAGUUUGAUUAUGGCUCAGAAGUGCGGCUGGCUAUACAUGCAAGUAGAACGCUGAAGGGAGGAGCUUGCUCUUCUUGGAUGAGUUGCGAACGGGUGAGUAACGCGUAGGUAACCUGCCUGGUAGCGGGGGAUAACUAUUGGAAACGAUAGCUAAUACCGCAUGAUAUUAAUUAUUGCAUGAUAAUUGAUUGAAAGAUGCAAUUGCAUCACUACCAGAUGGACCUGCGUUGUAUUAGCUAGUUGGUGAGGUAACGGCUCACCAAGGCGACGAUACAUAGCCGACCUGAGAGGGUGAUCGGCCACACUGGGACUGAGACACGGCCCAGACUCCUACGGGAGGCAGCAGUAGGGAAUCUUCGGCAAUGGGGGGAACCCUGACCGAGCAACGCCGCGUGAGUGAAGAAGGUUUUCGGAUCGUAAAGCUCUGUUGUAAGAGAAGAACGGGUGUGAGAGUGGAAAGUUCACACUGUGACGGUAUCUUACCAGAAAGGGACGGCUAACUACGUGCCGGCAGCCGCGGUAAUACGUAGGUCCCGAGCGUUGUCCGGAUUUAUUGGGCGUAAAGCGAGCGCAGGCGGUUAGAUAAGUCUGAAGUUAAAGGCUGUGGCUUAACCAUAGUAUGCUUUGGAAACUGUUUAACUUGAGUGCAGAAGGGGAGAGUGGAAUUCCAUGUGUAGCGGUGAAAUGCGUAGAUAUAUGGAGGAACACCGGUGGCGAAAGCGGCUCUCUGGUCUGUAACUGACGCUGAGGCUCGAAAGCGUGUGGAGCAAACAAGAUUAGAUACCCUGGUAGUCCACGCCGUAUACGAUGAGUGCUAGGUGUUAGGCCCUUUCCGGGCUUAGUGCCGCAGCUAACGCAUUAAGCACUCCGCCUGGCGAGUACGACCGCAAGGUUGAAACUUAAAUGAAUUGACGGGG
rnacentral:rRNA from 1 species